CCACACCUAAAAAACUUUCCACGUGAACCGUUUCAACCCAAUAGUUGGGGGUCUUAUUUGGCGGCGGCUGCUGGCUUAAUUGUUGGCGGCUGCUGCUGAGUGAGCCCUAUCAAAAAAAAAGGCGAACGUUUGGGCUUCGGCCUGAUUUAGUAGUCUUUUUUUUCUUUUAAACCCAUUCCUUAAUACUGAAUAUACUGUGGGGACGAAAGUCUCUGCUUUUAACUAGAUAGCAACUUUCAGCAGUGGAUGUCUAGGCUCGCACAUCGAUGAAGAACGCUGCGAACUGCGAUACGUAAUGCGAAUUGCAGGAUUCAGUGAGUCAUCGAAAUUUUGAACGCAUAUUGCACUUCCGGGUUAGUCCUGGAAGUAUGCCUGUAUCAGUGUCCGUACAUUAAACUUGACUUUCUUCCUUCCGUGUAGUCGGUGGAGGAGAUGUCAGAUGUGAAGUGUCUUGCGAUUGGUCUUCGGACCGGCUGCGAGUCCUUUUAAAUGUACUAAACUGAACUUCUCUUUGCUCGAAAAGUGGUGGCGUUGCUGGUUGUGAAGGCUGCUAUUGUGGCAAAUUGGCGACUGGUUUGUCUGCUGCGGCGUUAAUGGAAGAGUGUUCGAUUCGUGGUAUGGUUGGCUUCGGCUGAACAAUGCACUUAUUGGACGUUUUUCCUGCUGUGGCGUGAUGGACUGGUGAACCAUAGCUCGGUGGCUUGGCUUUUGAAUUGGCUUUGCUGUUGCGAAGUAGGGUGGCAGCUUCGGUUGUCGAGGGUCGAUCCAUUUGGGAACUUAAUGUGUACUUCGGUAUGCAUCUCAA
rnacentral:rRNA from 1 species